ensembl:lncRNA
GCGCCAACUCGUUGUUGUGUACGUUAUGGCAAAACUCAAAUCUGAUAGGUGACACACACAUACCGUACUCGAAGGUAGAUCUUAAGCGCUGAAUGAAGAGAAGCGUUUGUCCUGCACAGCACAGGUACAAACGAAAAACACAAGCCAAAGAAAACGACGCAAAUUUGGCACCCAAGCUAUGCGAAAACUACACAUAAGUAAGUAUAUGUGCUGCCGAAGCAAGCACGAACAGAGAGCUCGGACGAGGGCUAGAUAUACCACUGACUCCCAGCUAUGUUUCACAUAGGUGCUGUGAUUGGACCGCUCGGUAUGACGCAGAGGCGCUCUUGGUUACAUGUCACACACCCUCCCCCACAGACAGCGCACAACCUCCCGCCGGGACAAAGAGCGGCCGCCUUCCUCACAGAAGAGCAUAAAGGGCUGAACGACCAGGAAACUCUCCUUUCAGAACAACAGAGGCCGUGAGAACACUGUGAACCUCAAAGCUCAACUCAGAACAGCCACUAGAAGGUGGAGAAAUUACAGGUUAUGUAGAAUAUGACAAAUAUGACCAAUAAUAAACAACAGGACCCACCAAUACCUGUCUAAACUUAUUUGAAAAGGUAAGGGGCCCAGAGCAAUAUAACGUUAGAGUGACCUAAGAGUGAAUAAAUC